AAACAAAACUCAGAAACAAUUAAAAGACUAAAUGCAAACUACGAACACUAGACUUAUUCACAACUCAACCUAUCAUGCCAUCAAUCAUUUUUCAGUCAUUUCCUCAAUCAAAACUGCACAAUCAUAUUUCUCAACUUUAAACAUCAGUUUCAACAGUCCAAGCAUUUGAAAAACAACUUAAUUCAGCCACGACUGAACUCAGAUGCAAAAAUUUAAUGCUGGGACUACUUCUACAUGAAUCUAAAGCAGAAAACACAAUUAACAGUUCUAAUCAAAAGAAAUGAAACUAAGAAAUGAGUUAAAUCAGCAAAAAAUGAAUGAGUACGAAACAGAACCUAAAAUGAACCUAUAAAUGUCUAACAUCAUCUUCUAAACUAUAUACAACCUAUACAAGCUAAGACGGGAUAAAAGAACCUAAAACAACUCUUAAACCAAAGUUCUACGAAAGAAAACAACAAAAGGAAAAGAGAAGAAGAUAAGAAAAUAAGUAACUAUGAAACUGUGGAAAUCCUAAUAAUAGAAUCAGGAACGAUAAAAACGAAAAGCAAUUCCUAAUGACAACUUAAAAUAAAACCUAGAAAGGAAAGAACCUAAAGCAAUUCCUAUUUACAGAAGCAAUGAACAAAGAAUGGUUUAAGGAAUUAAAGCAGAAAAUUGAAACAAGAAAAACAAAAAAAUAGAAUAAGAAAACGAGUACGAGCUCUAUUUACCAAAACAAUGCAAAGAAAAGAACCUAAGCANUCCUAGAAACAACUUAAUGAAUCCUAAAAGCAGCAAAAGAAAUAAACGUUUACAAAUCAAAAUUAAGAAUGACUAUUUACAACUAAAAGCUCAAUAUUUACAAACUCAAUCAAACCUAAAACUAAAGGGAAAAAAACAACUUAAAACUAAAAAUUGCCCCUUAAAAUAUUUUUUGUUUACUACAAAAACACAUUAACAGGGUUACUUCAGAGUGGAAACAAAAAUUUAACCUAUACCCUCUCACCUCCACACUUAAGAGGCACAUUGCCCUCAAUGUGAGUAAGGUUUUC
rnacentral:lncRNA from 1 species